rnacentral:rRNA from 1 species
GAUGAACGCUGGCGGCGUGCCUAAUACAUGCAAGUCGAACGAACGUAUCGGAAGCUUUCUUCUCUGAUGUUAGCGGCCGACGGGAGAGUCACACGUGGAUAACCUACCUAUAAGACUGGGAUACCUUCGGCAAAACUGCCCUACUACCGGAUAAUAUUUUGACCUUAAUGGUUCACACGUCAAAGACGCUAUUUCUGUUACUUAUAGAUGGAUCCGAUCUGCAUUAGCUAGUUGGUAAGGUAACGGAUUACCAAGUCGACGAUGCAUAGCCGACCCGAGAGGGAGAUUGAGCAGACUGGAACUGAGACACGGUACAGACUCCUACAGUAGGCCGCAGUAGGGAAUCCUCCGCGAGGCGGGAGUGCCGGAUGGUGCAACGUCGCGUGAAUGAUGAAGGUCUUCUGAUCGUAAAACUCUGUUAGUAUGGAAAAACAAAUGUGUUUGUAACUGUGCACAUCUUGACGGUACCUAAUGAAAAAGCCACGGCUAACUACGUG